rnacentral:rRNA from 1 species
AUUGAACGCUGGCGGCAUGCCUUACACAUGCAAGUCGAACGGCAGCACGGGUGCUUGCACCUGGUGGCGAAUGGCGAACGGGUGAGUAAUACAUCGGAACAUGUCCUGUAGUGGGGGAUAGCCCGGCGAAAGCCGGAUUAAUACCGCAUACGAUCUCCGGAUUAAAGCGGGGGACCUUCGGGCCUCGCGCUUUAGGGUUGGCCGAUGGCUGAUUAGCUAGUUGGUGGGGUAAAGGCCUACCAAGGCGACGAUCAGUAGCUGGUCUGAGAGGACGACCAGCCACACUGGGACUGAGACACGGCCCAGACUCCUACGGGAGGCAGCAGUGGGGAAUUUUGGACAAUGGGCGAAAGCCUGAUCCAGCAAUGCCGCGUGUGUGAAGAAGGCCUUCGGGUUGUAAAGCACUUUUGUCCGGAAAGAAAUCCUUGGCCCUAAUACGGUCGGGGGAUGACGGUACCGGAAGAAUAAGCACCGGCUAACUACGUG